rnacentral:rRNA from 1 species
UCAGAUGUGAAAUCCCGGGGCUCAACCCCGGAACUGCGUUUGAAACUGGACGGCUUGAGUACGGGAGAGGGAAGUGGAAUUCCCGGUGUAGAGGUGAAAUUCGUAGAUAUCAGGAGGAACACCGGUGGCGAAGGCGGCUUCCUGGACCAAUACUGACGCUGAGGCGCGAAAGCGUGGGGAGCAAACAGGAUUAGAUACCCUGGUAGUCCAGGCCGUAAACGAUGAGCACUAGGUGUAGGAGGUAUCGAUCCCUCUGUGCCGCAGCUAACGCAUUAAGUGAUCCGCCUGGGGAGUACGGCCGCAAGGUUAAAACUCAAAGGAAUUGAGGG